GGGAGGGGAAGCGGAUGCAGGGCCUUCCAAAAAGAAGGAAUAUAAACCUCAUUUUACCUCUGACUGCUCUAAAAUAUCUCCAUGUCUGGUCAAAGUAAAGAACAAUGACCGUCUUGCCUGCUGUACAGUUUGUAAUACUGACUUCAGAAUUGCCCACGGGGGACUAAAUGAUUGUAAAAGGCAUGUUGAGGGACCACAGCAUGCUAGAGAGGAAAAGCACAGGGAAGGCUGCUCCAAUAUAUCUCAGUUCUUCUCCUCAGAAAAACAAAGUUUAAUGGAGAAGGUUACCACAGCUGAGGUGUAUUUCACAUCUUUUAUUGUGGAGCAUAAUUUGCCAUUUAAUGUGUGUAGGCACACAGGCAGGUUAUUUAGGAAAAUGUUCCCAGACUCUGAAAUAGCAAAGAAUUAUGCCUGCUCUUCCAUAAAGACAGCAGCAAUGAUGAACCUGGCACUGGAACCUGAAUGCUCAGAGGAUGUGUACAAGUUACUCUGCACAGAAAAAAGGCCAUACAGUAUUAUGGUUGAUGAAAGCAAUGACAUGAUGUGUGAAAAGGAGUGUGCCAUUUUAGUCAGGUACUACAGUGAAACACAGGAUAAGGUGACAGUUGGAUUUGUAGACAUGCCAGUGUGUAAUGAGGCCAAAGCUGAGAACAUCUUCAACUGCAUCGAAUCAUCCAUGCAGGACAAAGGCCUUGAGUGGUCCAAUUGCGUAAGAUUCAGCAGUGACAAUUGCAAUGUCAUGAUUGGUAAGAACAACUCUGUCUUAUCAAGAGUGAAAGCACAGGCCCCUCACAUAUACACCGUUGGCUGUCCAAGUCACUUGGUGAACAUAUGUGCCAAAACUACUGCUAAGGAGCUCUCAAUGUCACCUGAAGAACUGCUAAUUGACAUAUACUACUACUUUGAGAAAAGCUCAAAAAGAAGAGAGGAACUGAAGCAGUUUCAGGACUUCUGUAACAUAGCUCAGCAGAGAGUACAAAAACACUUGUAGCGGGUGGGACCUAAUGACUCAGUGUUGUGAUCUGGCAUUGGCUGAUCUCCCCGCGGGUUUGUAGACGGGCAAAUAUAGGGGCGACUAGGGGUCCUAGUUAGCGAUAGCCCAGCUAGCCCGCAUGCACAGGAGCGGCGUCUUCGGCAGGAGAAGCAGUAAAUGGUUGGACGCAUGCGCUGUCCGGAUAGAUGCACACCGGCAUAAAUGUGCUGUAGCGGUGGAAUUGUGCACAGUAGUGAGAGUAAAGAAGUUGUGAAGAGACAUACGGACGUGCUGUGGAGUUAAGCGUGACCGGUUGUGCUAUAGUGUGAGGCAACGGGCGUUGGUGCUGGUGGAUGUAAGGAAACUAAUGAACGCUGUGGACAGCGGCAGGCCAUUAUAACCAAGCUGGAAAGCGGGGCGUAUGGAGAACUGCUGCCUGUUAAUGUGAUAAGAGCUGUGAACUGCUGCUAGCUGCUGUUUUCUUUAUCCCUUUUUUUUAUUUUAGAAAUGUUCUGAUUAAGACCCGGUUUUAAACUGUGUAUUAGAUGAUCGUUAUGGAAAUGCUACUCUGACUCCCAGUAUUUACGGUUUGGUUAUAUAUUUCCCUUUUUUUUUAUCUCUUACCCUUUUUUUUGGCCUAGGGUUAUGAGUAAUUUGUAUUACUGCCUGUGAUUGUAGUUAUAUCAUCCAGCUGGGAUAAUUGGAAGGCUAUUCAUUGUAGUGAGCUAUUGAGUGGGGUGUAGUGUUCACUGAUUGGCGUUUGUAGUGAAAGUCUUAUUCUGCAUUUUAUUGAAUUGAUUUGAUUUGAGGGUGUCGUGAUUCACAUGCUAUUUAUUGGAAAUUAUAGAACUAUAUAGUUCAUCCUCUAUUCUCAGGCUGGAUGUAAGUUUCUAGUGGGCAGCUAUACAUAUGUUGAUCCUUUUUGUUUUGUUUAAUGUUUUUAUUUUAUUAUAACUAUUUUCAUAAAGCUUCUUUUGUAUACAGGUAUAAAGAGAUAUAUAUUUCUUUUUUUUAUUAUUUUAUAACUGUCAGCUGAACAUUGAGUGACCAAGCGUUUAAUAAAGCAAUUUAUUUUCUCUAACAAAAGAAUCUGUGUGUCUAUUUGGUGCAGAGUUCCCCUUCACUCUAGGUAUAAACUAAGGGGUGGCGUAGUCGGUUAUAGAUAGGGGUACUAUCGCCACACACUGUCCCACACGUUGGCUAUCCUUGGGGAAAUGUUUGGACCAUCUUCUGAAAAUUGUUGGGAGACGUGUCUCCCUGAAAUUAAUUUUUGCAAGUUGGGAUGUCUGCACCAACCAACCACCCUUCAGUGCCAUAUGGACAAUGUUCACCCCAGAACUUGACUUCACAGCCUCAAACAGCCGUGUUUUACUGUUACUGUCCAUUUUUAUUCUGUGUGUAUUCAGCUCAGCAUAAACCAGCUGCUCCUACCGCAGAGCAGAGGCGUCAGGUCCUUUGUUUACAACCUGCAGGUCUGGACCAGCAGCUCCACUGGACUUACCCGCUUCUGCGCUGAGCAGCAGUAGAAGGAGCCACUUC